CGGACGGGUGAGUAACGCGUGAGUAACCUGCCUUUCAGAGGGGGAUAACGUUCUGAAAAGAACGCUAAUACCGCAUAACAUCAAUUUGUCGCAUGAUAGGUUGAUCAAAGGAGCAAUCCGCUGGAAGAUGGACUCGCGUCCGAUUAGCCAGUUGGCGGGGUAACGGCCCACCAAAGCGACGAUCGGUAGCCGGACUGAGAGGUUGAACGGCCACAUUGGGACUGAGACACGGCCCAGACUCCUACGGGAGGCAGCAUG
rnacentral:rRNA from 1 species